rnacentral:lncRNA from 1 species
GAUGAUCUCAAUAUGUGAAACACAAGUCAAAAAAGGUUUAUACCAAAAAGAAAAUAAUUUGUGUCAAUGCUCACAGACAACAAUAUUAUAUGGCGGCCAUAUAGUAGAUUAUAUGACUAUUUUUCUAUAUCUCGAUAGACGUUACAUCGUCAUUCGUGAUAUUGAUAUGAUUUGAGAAAUUCGCAUAUCAUAGGCUUGACUUGUGCACACUCACGUUGAAAACUUGCAAGCAAAUGAUUUAAUUUUGCUUGAACCAUCUUUGAAGAUUGUUAAACAAGAAGUGCAAUGCCUUGCUAAAGUUUGAUAUGCUGCAAGGCAUGCAAAUUUUGUAAAGCUAUGGGAGGGGAGGAGAUUAAAUUGGGUUGUGAACAGAAAAUGUUGUGGAUAAAAAUCAAGGGGCUGCAACUUCUAAUAAAGAUCAAACCCGAACAAUGCCAAUAGGAGUUGAAAUGGAUAGAGGGGAUGACUUUCAUAGCCCGUGCUUUGGUAGUCAUAGUACAGGAGCCUACAUCAUCAACCAAAGGUUGAAUAGUUUUGGGAACGAACUUGGACCUUUUAUUGAUAAUUCAUAUCUUGAGACUCGUUGGCCAUCUUCUGUUCCAAACAUGGGGAAAAUAAGUAGAUGUUACAUAGCUAAAGCAAGAGCAAUACUCUGAAGGAUAGACAAUUGUAAUGCAAAGGUAUGAUGAGCUUGAAUAUAAAUGCAUAUGUAGUGCAACA